UGGCCUGUAGAGAGAGAGGCAGGGUCUGAUCCACAGCCUCUGUUGUUGCAGCUGUUGAUCAGCCAUUGCCUCUUUCUUUCUGUCCC
rfam:Myotis lucifugus cont2.28645, whole genome shotgun sequence.